UUGUUAUUGAUAUUAUUUUUAUUGAAAUAGAGACUCAAGUGACCAGAAUAAUGUUUUCCCUUAUUGCUUUAUCAUUACUCUUUACAGUUGCAUCUUCAACUCCUCUGGUUGAACAGUUGGGUUUGAAGUCUAACGAUUCCUACAACAUUCAAGCUGUCCUUGUUGCCGGAUCCAAUGGAUGGUACAAUUAUCGUCACCAAGCUGAUGUCUGUCAUGCUUACCAAGUCCUCCGAAGCCAUGGCGUUCCUGCUGAAAACAUCAUCGUUAUGAUGUAUGAUGAUAUUGCCAAUGCCUCUGAAAAUCCCCAUCCAGGUAAAAUCUUCAACAUCCCCAAAGGUCCUGAUGUCUAUGCUGGUGUAUCAAAGGAUUACACUGGUGAUGAAGUCAACGCCGAAAACUUCUUAAAGGUCAUCAAGGGUGACAAAGGUCUUGCAGCUAAGGGUAAAAAGGUACUCACUUCUGGACCAAAUGAUCACGUCUUCAUCUAUUUCGCUGACCAUGGAGCUACAGGUUUAAUCGCCUUCCCUGAAGACACUCUUUCAUCAGACGAUUUGAACAAAGCCUUGGUGUACAUGCACGAUAACAAGUUGUAUGGUAAACUCACUUUCUAUGUUGAAGCCUGUGAAUCUGGAUCAAUGUUUGAAAAUAUUUUACCCAAAGACAUCAACAUCUAUGCUACAACUGCUGCCAACUCUGAAGAGUCAAGUUGGGGUUGUUAUUGUGAUGAAAAAGACAUUGAUACUUGCCUUGGUGAUGAAUAUUCUGUUGCAUGGCUCCAAGACUCGGACAAGCAUGAUUUAACCAAAGAAACACUUGAACAACAAUUCAAAGAUGUUGUUAAAAACACUCCAAGAUCACAUCCACAAGAAUUUGGAACCAAAUCUAUCGCUGAUUUAGUUGUCGGUGAAUUCCAAGGAGAAAAGGCUUCAUCAAGCAAUCAGCUUUACAGAAAAGUUCCAGCUCGAGGUUCAGUAAACAGCCGAGAUAUUCCUUUGGUCAUGUUACGAAGAAAAAUGAUCAAGACAAAUGAUGAAAAUGAAGCUGCUUCCCUUCAUAAGCAACUAUCAAAUUUGAUUGCUGGUCGACAUUUCCUUGAAUCAGGAAUGAACAAAAUUGUUGCUCAACUUUGUUCUGCUGGUUUCUGUUCAAGUGUUGAAGAAGUCAUGACAACUCGACGACCAUUGGUUAAUCACUCAGCUCACUCCACAGUUGUCAAAAAAUUCAACUCCAGUUGCCUUAAUGUUGCCGUCCACAAUUAUGCAAUGAAAUACAUUUAUGUACUGGCCAAUCUGGUUGAGGCAAACAACUUUAACGAGACAAGUUUAUCUCAUUUCUUGAAAGCUUUAGAGCGAGCUUGUGAAACUCACAUCGUCGACAAUGGAUUCAAAGCUAUUGUUUAAAUGCAUUGUUAUUAACAAUCAAUUUUUCUUUCAAUAAAAUUCCCUUUUGCAAACAA